rnacentral:rRNA from 1 species
UGCUGUGAACUCGAAGAGUAGGGCGGGACACGUGGUAUCCUGUCUGAAUAUGGGGGGACCAUCCUCCAAGGCUAAAUACUCCUGACUGACCGAUAGUGAACCAGUACCGUGAGGGAAAGGCGAAAAGAACCCCGGCGAGGGGAGUGAAAAAGAACCUGAAACCGUGUACGUACAAGCAGUGGGAGCCUCUUUAUGGGGUGACUGCGUACCUUUUGUAUAAUGGGUCAGCGACUUAUAUUCUGUAGCAAGGUUAACCGUAUAGGGGAGCCGAAGGGAAACCGAGUCUUAACUGGGCGUUAAGUUGCAGGGUAUAGACCCGAAACCCGGUGAUCUAGCCAUGGGCAGGUUGAAGGUUGGGUAACACUAACUGGAGGACCGAACCGACUAAUGUUGAAAAAUUAGCGGAUGACCUGUGGCUGGGGGUGAAAGGCCAAUCAAACCGGGAGAUAGCUGGUUCUCCCCGAAAGCUAUUUAGGUAGCGCCUCGUGAACUCAUCUUCGGGGGUAGAGCACUGUUUCGGCUAGGGGGCCAUCCCGGCUUACCAACCCGAUGCAAACUACGAAUACCGAAGAAUGUUAUCACGGGAGACACACGGCGGGUGCUAACGUCCGUCGUGAAGAGGGAAACAACCCAGACCGCCAGCUAAGGUCCCAAAGUCAUGGUUAAGUGGGAAACGAUGUGGGAAGGCACAGACAGCCAGGAUGUUGGCUUAGAAGCAGCCAUCAUUUAAAGAAAGCGUAAUAGCUCACUGGUCGAGUCGGCCUGCGCGGAAGAUGUAACGGGGCUAAACCAUGCACCGAAGCUGCGGCAGCGACACUAUGUGUUGUUGGGUAGGGGAGCGUUCUGUAAGCCGUUGAAGGUGUGCUGUGAGGCAUGCUGGAGGUAUCAGAAGUGCGAAUGCUGACAUAAGUAACGAUAAAGCGGGUGAAAAGCCCGCUCGCCGGAAGACCAAGGGUUCCUGUCCAACGUUAAUCGGGGCAGGGUGAGUCGACCCCUAAGGCGAGGCCGAAAGGCGUAGUCGAUGGGAAACAGGUUAAUAUUCCUGUACUUGGUGUUACUGCGAAGGGGGGACGGAGAAGGCUAUGUCAGCCGGGCGACGGUUGUCCCGGUUUAAGCAUGUAGGCGGAGGUUCCAGGUAAAUCCGGUACCUUUUAACGCUGAGGUGUGAUGACGAGGCACUACGGUGCUGAAGUGAUAAAUGCCCUGCUUCCAGGAAAAGCCUCUAAGCAUCAGGUAACACGAAAUCGUACCCCAAACCGACACAGGUGGUCAGGUAGAGAAUACCAAGGCGCUUGAGAGAACUCGGGUGAAGGAACUAGGCAAAAUGGUGCCGUAACUUCGGGAGAAGGCACGCUGAUGUGUAGGUGAAGCCCCUGCGGGUGGAGCUGAAAUCAGUCGAAGAUACCAGCUGGCUGCAACUGUUUAUUAAAAACACAGCACUGUGCAAACACGAAAGUGGACGUAUACGGUGUGACG